rnacentral:rRNA from 1 species
UACGGAGGGGGCUAGCGUUGUUCGGAAUUACUGGGCGUAAAGCGCACGUAGGCGGCUUUGCAAGUUAGAGGUGAAAGCCCAGGGCUUAACCCUGGAAUUGCCUUUAAGACUGCAUCGCUAGAAUUGUGGAGAGGUAAGUGGAAUUCCGAGUGUAGAGGUGAAAUUCGUAGAUAUUCGGAAGAACACCAGUGGCGAAGGCGACUUACUGGACACAUAUUGACGCUGAGGUGCGAAAGCGUGGGGAGCAAACAGG